rnacentral:rRNA from 1 species
UCGCCAGACUCCUACGGGAGGCAGCAGUGAGGAAUAUUGGUCAAUGGCCGAGAGGCUGAACCAGCCAAGUCGCGUGAGGGAAGACGGCCCUACGGGUUGUAAACCUCUUUUGUCGGGGAGCAAAGCGAACCACGUGUGGUUCAUUGAGAGUACCCGAAGAAAAAGCAUCGGCUAACUCCGUGCCAGCAGCCGCGGUAAUACGGAGGAUGCGAGCGUUAUCCGGAUUUAUUGGGUUUAAAGGGCGCGUAGGUGGACGCUUAAGUCAGGUGUGAAAACUCCGGGCUCAACCUGGAGACUGCACUUGAAACUGGGUGUCUUGAGGGCAGGAGAGGAAAGUGGAAUUCCUAGUGUAGCGGUGAAAUGCGUAGAUAUUAGGAGGAACACCAGUGGCGAAGACGACUUUCUGGACUGUACCUGACGCUGAGGCGCGAAAGCGUGGGUAGCGAACGGGAUUAGAUACCCCAGUA